UACCGAUGUGCUGCAUCGCAUUCGCGUGAACACUUGUGCCGCCCACAAUCUGAGAGUUUUCAUCAGCACGGACUAUGAGCAUCUGGACGAGAAGGAGGCGACUCUGGUGCGCUGUGUGCUGGACUACAGUCUGAGUCGUGAGGAGCUGCCCGUGGUGUUGGCCUCACAGCUCAGCCCCGAGCUGAGUGUCCGUGUCCGACUGCAGCUGCU
rnacentral:lncRNA from 1 species